CCCAACUAUCCCUAUUAAUCAUUACGGUGAUUCAGAAACCAACAAAACAGGACCACCGUCCUAUUCUAUUAUUCCAUGCUAAUGUAUUCAGACAUAAGCCUGCUUUGAACACUCUAAUUUUUUCAAGGUAAAGGUCCUGGUUUCCCACCACGUUAAAUUAAUAACAUGAUGGUUCCCCAGAAGGUAGAAAUUCUACACGUCAGUACAGACAAAGCCCGACCAACGGUAGAACCCCGAAAUUCAACUACGAG
rnacentral:rRNA from 1 species